AUUGAACGCUGGCGGCAUGCCUUACACAUGCAAGUCGAACGGCAGCACGGGUGCUUGCACCUGGUGGCGAGUGGCGAACGGGUGAGUAAUAUAUCGGAACGUACCUUAUUGUGGGGGAUAACGCAGCGAAAGCUGUGCUAAUACCGCAUAAUCCCUAAGGGGGAAAGCAGGGGACCGUAAGGCCUUGCGCAAUUAGAGCGGCCGAUACCUGAUUAGCUAGUUGGUGAGGUAAAGGCUCACCAAGGCAACGAUCAGUAGCUGGUCUGAGAGGACGAUCAGCCCCACUGGGACUGAGCCGCGGGCCAGACUCCUACGGGAGGCAGCGGUGGGGAAUUUUGGACAAUGGGGGCAACCCUGAUCCAGCAAUGCCGCGUGAGUGAAGAAGGCCUUCGGGUUGUAAAGCUCUUUUGUCAGGGAGGAAAUCCUAGUGGCUAAUAACUGCUGGGGAUGACAGUACCUGAAGAAUAAGCACCGGCUAACUACGUGCCAGCAGCCGCCGUAA
rnacentral:rRNA from 1 species